GUGCAAUGAGGAAAACACAUCUGUGCUCCAGAGAAGAGAUGAAUAUCUCUUCUGUGACGGCUGUACAACCUCUAAGAAGUUCUGAGCAC
rfam:Daucus carota subsp. sativus cultivar DH1 chromosome 7, whole genome shotgun sequence.